rnacentral:rRNA from 1 species
UACAGAGGUCUCGAGCGUUAGGCGGAAUCACUGGGCUUAAAGCGUGUGUAGGCGGAUCGGUAAGUACCUUGUGAAAUCCCACAGCUUAACUGUGGAACUGCUUGGUAUACUGCCAGUCUUGAGCCACUUAGGGGCUACCGGAACAAAUGGUGGAGCGGUGAAAUGCGUAGAUAUCUGGAGGAACACCGGUGGCGAAGGCGGCAUCCUGGACCGGCAUUGACGCUGAGGCGCGAAAGCUAGGGGAGCAAACGGGG